rnacentral:lncRNA from 1 species
ACCAAUGGGCAUAUUUCCUCAUAGUAAGACACUUCACGACAUCAAGUUCACUAGUACAAUGACUUGUGCUUUCUCAUGUGGUCUGAAAGUCCACUUCAUUUAUUCAUGGUGUCUGUAGAGACACUCUCAAGCCCUGCCUUAGUGAUGGAGGUCGCACCCCAUGCAAAAUUUAAUGAGCAUAAAAGAAUGCAGUAUAGACUAGGAAGUGACUCCUAGGUCGUCUCUCAAGGACCAAAUGUGGUUCGAGAAUCAGGUCAAACACGAAGUGGGGGGGGGGUUGUUGAAAGGUGUGUGAAUGCAGAUAAACAAAAUUAAAAUACGAAUGCAAACGGAAAUGUAAACACAUAUGUAAAAACGGUUUCAAAUACAGAAUGAAAACGGUUGGACAUUAACUCAAUUACUAUGCUUCCAAUCACAGAUCAACGACAAGUACACACUACUUUAAUCCAAAUCCGACACGAAUCACCCAACUAAGCGAAGGCUAAUUCGGUCUUCAAAAUUACAGACUAAGCGAAUGCAAUGCAAAAAAAAAAAAAAAAUCAGUCAUCCACCAUACAGUCUAAUCAACUAAGUGAAGAAUUGACACCGAUUAGGCAACUAAGCGUGUACCUAAUCGCAGGCAAACAACAAAUUAAAUAUUAAGCAGAAUCAAAGCAGCAGUAUGGCAAUUAAAGCUCAAAAGUCUCAGGGAAGCAAAGUAAUAUUAUUAACAACCAACCCGAAUAAUUUAAGUUAACAUCUCAACUAAAUUAUCAAAAUCAAACAGAACAAACAAUAUUAAAAUAAAUGAAAACAUUGAAAUAAAACAUUUAAUGCUAACAUGCGUGAACAAUAAAAUAGAAUAAAAAUGCAAAUGUAACAAGUAAACUAAAAAUAUAAAAAAUAAAAAAAUAAAAUAAACAAAAACAAUUCGGAAAAGCUUAUAAAAAAAUUUUGCGUUAAUAGUAUUGAGCAAAGCUAAAUACAAUUCAAUGUAAAUAAUAUAAAAUAUUCUCGGUGGAAGCUUAAAAGAAGAAAUGUUAGGAAAAUAUUAUUUAAUGCUAGAAAAUUAUAAUAUUAAAUUAAAAGGAGAAAUGUUCAUUUUAGCAACUUCAACAGUGUUUUUUUAAAACAGUAAAUUAAAAACACAUAACAUUGAAAAUGAAAUCUAGAACAAGGCUACUAAAGUAAAUGGAUUCAGCAUGUGACACUCCAAAAUCACAGUGAAUCAGCGUGUGUAUAUCUCCCAGCAAAAUGAAUGUCACUAAAUUCAAUAAAGAAAUAUAUUUCACAUGAACGUUUCUGCCAGCAAAAUGAAUGCACCG